GUGAAGAACGUAGCGAAAUGCGAUAAGUAAUGUGAAUUGCAGAAUUCAGUGAAUCAUCGAAUCUUUGAACGCACAUUGCGCCCCCUGGUAUUCCGGGGGGCAUGCCUGUUCGAGCGUCAUUUCACCACUCAAGCCUCGCUUGGUAUUGGGCAACGCGGUCCGCCGCGUGCCUCAAAUCGACCGGCUGGGUCUUCUGUCCCCUAAGCGUUGUGGAAACUUUCGCUAAAGGGUGUUCGGGAGGCUACGCCGUAAAACAACCCCAUUUCUAAGGUUGACCUCGGAUCAGGUAGGGAUACCCGCUGAACUUAAGCAUAUCAAUAAGCGGAGGA
rnacentral:misc_RNA from 1 species